GUGACUGCGUACCUUUUGUAUAAUGGGUCAGCGACUUAUAUUCUGUAGCAAGGUUAACCGAAUAGGGGAGCCGAAGGGAAACCGAGUCUUAACUGGGCGUUAAGUUGCAGGGUAUAGACCCGAAACCCGGUGAUCUAGCCAUGGGCAGGUUGAAGGUUGGGUAACACUAACUGGAGGACCGAACCGACUAAUGUUGAAAAAUUAGCGGAUGACUUGUGGCUGGGGGUGAAAGGCCAAUCAAACCGGGAGAUAGCUGGUUCUCCCCGAAAGCUAUUUAGGUAGCGCCUCGUGAAUUCAUCUCCGGGGGUAGAGCACUGUUUCGGCAAGGGGGUCAUCCCGACUUACCAACCCGAUGCAAACUGCGAAUACCGGAGAAUGUUAUCACGGGAGACACACGGCGGGUGCUAACGUCCGUCGUGAAGAGGGAAACAACCCAGACCGCCAGCUAAGGUCCCAAAGUCAUGGUUAAGUGGGAAACGAUGUGGGAAGGCCCAGACAGCCAGGAUGUUGGCUUAGAAGCAGCCAUCAUUUAAAGAAAGCGUAAUAGCUCACUGGUCGAGUCGGCCUGCGCGGAAGAUGUAACGGGGCUAAACCAUGCACCGAAGCUGCGGCAGCGACACUAUGUGUUGUUGGGUAGGGGAGCGUUCUGUAAGCCUGUGAAGGUGU
rnacentral:rRNA from 2 species